GGCGGCAGGCUUAACACAUGCAAGUCGAGCGGAAACGAUGAUAGCUUGCUAUCAGGCGUCGAGCGGCGGACGGGUGAGUAAUACUUAGGAAUCUACCUAGUAGKGGGGGAUAGCUCGGGGAAACUCGAAUUAAUACCGCAUACGACCUACGGGAGAAAGGGGGCARYUURYUGCUCUCGCUAUUARAUGAGCCCUAAGUCGGAUUAGCUAGAUGGUGGGGUAUAGGCCUYCCAUGGCGACGAUCUGUAGCUGGUCUGAGAGGAUGAUCAGCCACACCGGGACUGAGACACGGCCCGGACUCCUACGGGAGGCAGCAGUGGGGAUUAUUGGACAAUGGGGGCAACCCUGAUCCAGCCAUGCCGCGUGUGUGAAGAKGGCCUUUUGGUUGUAAWGCACUUUAAGCAGUGAAGAYGACUCCGUGGUUAAUACCCAUGGACGAUGACAUUAGCUUGCAGAAUAAGCACCGGCUAACUCUGUGCCAGCAGCCGCGGUAAUWCAGAGGGUGCAAGCGUUAAUCGGUAUUACUGGGCGUAAAGCGAGCGUAGGUGGCUUGGAUAAGUCAGAAGUGAAAUCCCCGGGCUUAACCYGGGAACCGCAUCUGAUACUYGUUWGGCUWGWRUWGGUGWGUGGAARGGUWGWAUUCCAGGUGUAGCGGUGWAAUGCGUAGWGAUCUGGWGGAAUACCGAUGGCGAAGYAKCUUCUUGKCAUCAUAUYGACRCUUGAGAUCGAARCGUGGGUAGCAKMAAGAUAGAUACCCUSUAGUCACSCGUAACRAUGUCUWCUAUCSUUGGUCCUYUGAGAAYAUUGACASCUACSAUAGUACGCUGAGUACGGCAGUAGCAUGACACUGCGCGCACCGACUGUAU
rnacentral:rRNA from 1 species